AUUUGUUUAGUAUAAAAAGUACAUUGGACUUCCAAUUCAAAAGACUAAAAGUGUUUAGAACAAAUA
rnacentral:tRNA from 1 species